AUCUGUUCUUAUCAAUUUAAUAUCUGAUAUGUCCUUUAUUUAAGGACUGUAUAUUAAAUUGAUUUUUGAAACAGGGGGAUGGAAUAGGAGCUUGCUCUGUCCACCCCAUGCAUUGACCUGGUAUUGCAGUGUCUCCAGGAACGGUGC
rnacentral:snRNA from 1 species